rnacentral:lncRNA from 1 species
GCAUUCGGCUGCCUUAGCACUCUGCGUCCUCGCACCGACCCUGGGGUCCUGUUUGUCCGGAGACAGCGUGGCACCAACCCAGCUGUGUGUGCUUUGGAGCUGGAUACUCCUAAACACGUUUGGGUUUGAACUCCAGCUCUGAUCCUGCCAGCGAGGAGCCUUAGAGCAAGUGACUUAACCUUCUGGGCCUCAGUUUCCCUCAUCUGAAAAUGGGCGUGAUCAAGUCACCUCCCAGGGAUAUUUUCGAGGAUGAGAGGGGCCUAUGUGACAACUUCCCUGGCAUCCAUACCUCCACAGCCCAGAGUGGGGUCUCCGGGAUGUGAGCUGUACCCAGGCCUAACUUACGUCCGGACUGACCAGCACGCCUUCAGAAAGACUCUCAGGUUUACAGUACACGAGAGUGCACAGCUCUCCAAGACAUUCCAAGCAAUGUUACUUCAUCGACUUAUGGAAAUUUGCCUUUCUCAUACUGCUGCAUAGGUUUGGACAUCUUCUCUCUGUUUUGUAUUCAACCACAAUACACACAAACUAAAGGAGGCCAAGAUGAUAGAAGAUGGUUCUGCAGUUAGGACCCCUCCCACCCACCUUCAACCCAGCAUUGCAGCCUCGUGUGCAUCCUUGCCAGGGAUCUUUGCCAUUGCAGAUCCCUCUGCUGUGAGGGCUUUUCUUUCUUCAGUCCUUCCCAUCUGAUUGGCCAUCUCUCCCCUCAAGAGUCAGCUCAUUUGUUCACCAAUCUGUGUGAUCUGUGCACUAAAGAAUAAUGGAUAUGCUGUAUCUGCCAGAGUUUUCUGGGGAAAAGCAACACAGAUGGACGCCAGCAAACCUCAUGCAACAAAAGGCGCUAUUUCCAAGAUUUGGAGUAGCUCACAAAAGUCAAGAGAAGUUGAACCAUCAGGCUGCAGGAAGACAGGAAUUGGGUAGCUCUGGGUUUCUACAGAGCAGGAAGUAAGGGGAGAUCAGAAAACCUUGGUGUCAACUCUUAUCCCGCCUGGUGUCGCUCUCUCAUGCCUGAAGUUCUCAGCAGGGAGCACAGAAUUCGUUCAGCUUGGGUCAUGUGCUCAAAAAGGGUCAGACACCAUGACUGACCCUCCACCAAGACCGCUUGCAACAGGAAGGAGCUGGCUCCUGGAGGAAAACAACUCGCAAGGCUUCUGGCAGCCCAGACACGGGUCAUCCCUGAUGGGCUCUUUAUCCCAGCUGUGGCCUUGAUGAGUGCCGGACCCCUACGUGGGUCCCACAGUGCCUGCUCAAGGACCUCACAGCCCAGUGGAGGAGGCUAGUUAAGUAGAAAGUGCUCGAAACAAGGUAAAGAGUGCUGUGACAGAGGGGGCACAUGGGUAGGACCCCCUAACUCCAGGCGGAGCAUCAGAGAAGGCUUCCUGUAGGAAGCAGUGCUGUGCUGGGCAUACACAGAGCUGCAGGAGCUGGUUGAAUAGAGAAGCGGGGGAGGGUGUUCUGAGCAGAGGGUGAGCAAAACACGCAGUGAGAAAUAGACAAGCAGUUGAUGUGGGAAUGCAUUUCCUCCUGAGUAACAGAGGGGUCCUGGAAUGUUCCAUGUGGCCUCAGGGUCUCUGGGGCCCCACUCAGGGUUGGGUUGGAGAAGGCUGAAUGCUGCGUGGAAGGAGAUUUCCUAUGUUUCUGAUCUGGCUUGAGAGCUUUUUGAUGGCUGGGAGGGCCGGGUACUCUUUCUUAAGACAUUGAUAUAACAGCCCCAAAGAGCUGACUUGAUCAUCAGGGCCAGACCCCUCACCUCGGAGUAGAUGAGAAACUCCAGAUGAAGGGGAAUCUAUCUGAAUGACUCAUCUUUUCCUCCCCUGGGACUCCAGAAAGGAUCUGCACUAUUCCAUUUCAGUGGCAAGAUAUCUCCGUCCUCUUCUCUCUGCCAUUUCCAGAGAGCUCAUUUGAGACACACUAAUCAAAACCAACCGGGUCAUGUUACAGAGGGGAAAACUGAGGCCCAGAGAGAGGAAAUCCUGGCCACAGUCUGUUCCUUGAGUCUCCUUGUUGAGCUUACAGAGGGUCAACGCUGUGGGGUCAAUGCUUGUGUUACAAAAAAGUCACAUCCUACCUUCAUUUGAAAACCAUGUUGUUAUCCAUUCACAACCACCAGGCUGGCUAAUUUUAAAAAUGGAAAAUAAAUGUUGGUGAGAAUGUGGAGAGAUCAGAACCCUUGGGUGUUGUUGGUGGGAAUGUAAAAUGGUGCAUCUGCUGUAAAAAACAGUUUGGUGAUUUCUUAAAAACUUACACAUAAAGCUACCAUAUGACCCAGCAAUUCCACUCCUAGGUAUAUGCCCAAGAGAAAGGAAAAGCGAUGUCAACACGAAAACUUGCACGUGAAUGUCCAUAGCAAUGCUACUCUCUACUGCCAAGAGGUAGAAACAGAUGUCCAUCACUGAUGAAUGGAUAAAUAAAAUGUAGUCUAUUAAGGCAAUGGAAUAUUAUUCAGACAUAAAAAAAUGAGGAUCUACAGUGUGGGUGAACCUUGAAGAUAUUGUGCUAAGGGAAAGAAGGCAGACACAAAUGGGUAAACAUUGCAUGAUUCCAUUCAUAUGAAAUUUCCAGAAUUUGUCCAAGAAAAUCCAUAGUGGAAGACAGCUGAUGAGUGGUUUACAGGGACUUGGGAGAGGGAAGAAGGAAAGUGACUGGCGAAUAGGUAUGGGGUUUCCCUUUGGGGUGAUGGAAAUGUGUUGGAACUAAAUAGUGGUGAUGGCUGCAUAGCAUGUGAGUUUAAUGUACUAAAUGCCAUUGAAUUGUACACUUUAGAAUGGUUACUUUUAUGCUAGGUGAGUUUUACCUCAAUAAAAAUUAAAACCAGGCUGGUUGCUUACACCCGUAAUCCCAGCACCUUGGUUGGCUGAGGCAGGAGGAUCACUUGAGCCCAGGAGUUCAAGACCAGCCUGGGCAACAUAGGGAGACCUUGUCUCUAAAAAAAAAAAAAAAAAAAAAUUUGCCAGGCAUGGCAGGCGUACCUGUGGUCCCAGCUACUUGGGAGGCUGAGGUGGGAGGACCAGCUGGGCCCAGGGGGUUCAAGGCUGCAGUGAUUCUUGAUCGCACCUCUGCACUCCAGCCUGGGCAUCACAGCGAAACCCCAGCAACCCCAGUCUCUAAAUAGAUAAAUAAAACCAUGUUGUUUAUGUCUGAGGAACUUUUGAAUGCCAUUCUUACACUGUGUCGAUAGAGGAUGAUGUGAAGUCGCAGCGGAACACUUACCAGUGUAUGCCCGGUUCUGAGCCCUUACAGCUCCUCUAGUUCUCACGGCAGCCCUGUCACAAAGCUAUCCUCAUUAUUACCAUUUUACAGAGGGGGAAACUGAGGCCCUGAAUGAUAAAGCAGAUAGCCCCAUGUCAUCAAGGAAGGGUGGAGCUGGGAUUUGAAUCCAAGCAGUUUGGCUCCAGAGCCCAUGCGCUAAAGCGUCACAGUGAGACCCUGACUUCGAGUAAGAACCCACACCACUCUGAGCCCUGACACUGCAGUGUGGAUCAGAGGACUAGGGUGGCGGUGAGAAUGGAUACCUGGGCCUUAAAGCUGCUCCGCCAGGCCCAGAGCCACCCUUCCUCAAAAGUGCCUUGCUUGGGCUUGGUGGGCCUUGAAACAACAGUUUGAGGCUUCCUAUCCAUCCCCAGGGGUUCCCUGGGUAAUCAUGAUUAAUGCCAGAACUAGGAGCCGGGUGCACUCAGGGCCCUGCUCAGUGAUUGGCCCUGUGAUCACCCACCCCGGCCCCUUGUUACCGGCCCCUGCUCCAUAGUGGGCAGCCCGUGGAUUCCCUAAUGAAUUCUGUCAGCCCAGCGUGCAGGAGAUGGACAGAUAGAGAGGCCAAAUCCCAAAGUGGAUUUAUAAGUGGAAAUCCAGGGAUAAAUGCGGGGUUGGCGUAGGUGAGGGGAGUUGACCACAUCCACUGCUAAAUCUCAGAUUCCAAGAGGAGCUUAAUUCGUAAGGCUAUGUGCUAGAAAAGUCUGCAUUAGCCACUUUGGCGUGAGUAUAUCUCUAAAACCACUAAUGAAAUUGUGCUUUGGUCAAUCAACAUUUCUGGGGCCAGUGGCAUGGGUAAUCACUGGGCUUGCGUUGUGCUUUUAGACAGGGAAGCCAAUGUGGUCCCUGGUACACGCAGUUUUCUUCAACACCGAACGUUUGUUUUUCCAUCUUGUGGGUAGUGAGCCUUUCUUGAGCCAAAAUAUAUGUAGCUCACCCAUACAACUUUAUUUUGUAGAAAAGGGAGGAUAAAAGCUCCAUUGACCAAGCAUCCGUCUCCUGCCACAUUCUGCCUGAGGCAGGCCCAUGUGGAUUAUUGCUUGAAUCUGGGAAGUGGUUAUUCUUGCAGGUGGGAAACUGAGGCUUUGGGAGAUGGGGUACCAUGUGCAGGGUCACAGAGCAAGUUGGGGCAAAACAAAAAACCCGAUUCAGUGCUGUGAGCCUGAAAAGUGAGUUCUCUCUGCUUCACCAAUGGUUCCCAGCAAGUGCCGUGGACCCUCAGGGAGCUGGAGAGCUGAGACUGUCUCAGAAAGCCGGCUUUGGAGUGGAUGGGGUGUAGGGAGUGAGUGGCAGGAGCUAAGUACAGGGCAGGAUGGGGCCCAAAUGCCUUGCUCAGUGUCUGCAGUGUCCAUCAACCUGUUUCCCUCUCCUGGCCACCUGGGAGAGGACUCUGGAGUUUCUUGGAUUCUGGAGGUCAAACCAUCAGGCAUGCACUUCCAAUAAGGCCUUACACCUGCACAUCAGUUGAAACUCCAAAAGCUGCACAGAUCUUUGGAGGACACAUCCUGGCAUGGCCACUCACAAGCUGUGUGACUUUGGGGCAAGUUGCUCAGCUUUCUUCUCCUACAAACUUAAACCCUGAUCUCAGUCUAUUGUCAGCCUAGGAAUAGCUGCAAUAACAAAAUAAGGAAAAGAAAAGAAAUUACUAUUGGGAUGGAUGGAAAAGAAUACAUCUCAGCCAUGUACCAGCUGUGUGCCCUUAGUCAAGUUACUCAGCCUCUCUGCGCUCAGUUUCCUUACCUGUAAAAUGGGCAUAUUUUACCUACUUUGAAGGUAUUGCCUGUCAUUAAAUGAGAUGAUACAUUUAAUGGCAUUAAAUGAGUGCUCAUUAAAGCACUUAGCAAAGCUCCUUGCAUAUGAUGUUCAAAAAACUGGCUGUUUUAUUGACACCAUCAUCAUCAUCAGUAUCAUCACUGUAAUUACCAUCAUUGUCACUGCCAUGAUUUCCACUACCAUCACAGUUAGCAUCAGCAUUAUCAUUUUCAUUACCAUCCUUAUCAUUGUCAUCAUCAUCACCACCAUCACCAUCACAGCCACGAUCUUCACCAACAUUCCCAUCAUAACCAUCACCAUCACAGCCACGAUCAUCACCAACAUUACCAUCAUCACCAUUACCACCACCAUCAUCAUCAUAAUCAUUAGCAUCACCGUCGUCACCACCACUAUCAUUACCAACAUCACUACUGUAACUAUCACCAUCACCAUCAUCACCAUUACCAUCAUCAUCAUCAUAAUCAUUAGCAUCACCAUCAUCAUCACCACCACCAUUACCAACAUCACUAAUGUAGCUAUCACCAUCACCAUCAUCACCGUUACCACCGCCAUGAUCGUCACAAUCAUUACCAUUACUAUCAUCAUUAUCAUCAUCAUCAUUAUCACGAUAGUUACCAUCAUCAUUGCCAUGGUUUCCAUUAUCAUCACAAUUAGCAUUAGCAUUAUCAUUUUCAUUACCAUCCUUAUCAUUGUCAUUAUCAUCACCAUCAUCACCAUUGCCAACACCAUCAUCAUAAUCAUUAUCAUCACCAUCAUCAUCACCACCACCAUCAUCACCAACAUCAACAUCAUAACUGUAACCAUAACCGUCAUCGUCACAAUCAUCACCAUUACCACCACCAUUGUCAUCACCAUCAUUUCUAUUAUUGACAUCAUCGAUUGCCAUGAUCAUCAUGACAAUCAGCAUCAUCUUCAUCAUUAUCGAUUGUCAUGAUCAUGAUCAUCAUGACAUCAGCAUCAUCUUCAUCAUUAUCAUCCUUUUCGUCAUCACCACCACCAUCGUCACGACCACCGUUAUUACCAUCAGAUGGGCUGUUGGUGUUUCCAUGGGACAGAUCUGUCAUAGUAAGUCUGAGUGAUGGUUUAGGACUUGAAGCUGAUUUUUUCUGGCUUGUGGUAGUUAAAAAUACUAUCCUGACAUUCUCUCCACUGUUUAUUGUUUUAGAAAAUCUAUUAGAAAAUUGCUUUCUUCCCAGUAUGGUUCUCAAUUAGCCAGCAUCAGGAUUUUCCACUGGCAUCUCGGAAUGUUCUCAUCAGAAACCUCCCGAAAGGCAUGAUCGUUGAAGCUGGGAGAUUUGCCCAAAGGCUGUCUGGGCACAGAGUUUCUAAUGCCAAUAUUAUUUGCUCAUGCCCAGCUCUUUCCAGCAAACAGAGGCCUUUCAAACUAUUAAUAUAUAAACCAACAGCACAAGCACUUUGAAAGGAGAAGAGUGUGGGGGCAGGGUGCAUUCAUCUAUCCGAGCUGCCAUGACAAAAUACCAAGGACUAGGUGGCUUAAACAACAGAAAUCUAUUAUCUCACCGUUCUGGAGGUUGGAAAGUUUGAGAUCAGGUGGCAGCAAAUUUGGUUUCUGGUGAGGGCUCUCUUCCUGGCUUAUAGAUGGCUGUCAUCUCACUGUGUCCUUUCCUCUGUGCUUUCGUAGUGUUGUGGGGGGUGGGACAGUGGGCAGGGCGGGGGGAGAGAAAGGGAGAGAGAGAGAAACCUGGUGUCUCUCUUCUCAUAAGGACACCAGUUCUAUCGGAUUAAGGUCCCACCCUUGUGACCUCACCUAUCAUUUAUUAUCUCCAUAAAGGCCCCAUCUCCAAGUAUAGUCUCAUUAGGGUUGAGGAUUCAAUAUGUGAAUUGGCCGGGGGACACAAAAAAGUCCAUAAGAGGAGGAAAGGGCAUAUUAAUGAAGCAUGUGCCAUGUGCCAGGCAUUGAACCAGGCACUUUCGUAGAUACCAUUUCAUUUGAGUCUCAAGAGGACUCCGUGAGGCAGGCAGCAUAAUCUCCAUUUUAUGAAUGAGGAAGCUGAGACCUAGUGAGUGUAAGCAAAUUGUUCAAUACCACACAGCUAGUAGGACCUGGGUUUUUAGUUCAGGUCUAUCUGACUUCAAAUACCACACCCUUUUUUAAUAUCAAUUAUUCUCAGCAAAUGGCCCAUGGACCCCUGGACAUUCUCUGAGGUCUAUGAGGUAAAAUCUUGUGUUGAUAGUAAUAUUAAUAUUGUAUCGUAAUGUUAGUAUUAAUACUAAUACUACUAACACUAAGUUAUAUUUUACUCUGUUGACUAAUCACUGAUGAUACAAAUCCAACAGUGGGGAAAACCGCUAAGGCUUAACUCGAAUCAAAAUGCUGGCCCCAAACUAUGCUAUGCCAUGCCAUGCCAUGCCAUGCCAUGCCACGCCACGCCAUGCCAUGCCAUGCCAUGCCAUGCUAUGCUAUGCUAUGCUAUGCUAUGCUAUGCUAUGCUAUGCUAUGCUAUGCUAUGCUAUACUAUGCUAAUAGUUACGGUAUUGUUCACCAUCAUGCAGUCAGUAAAACAUAAACACAUAAUCUUCAAUGAAGCAAUAAAAUUCGUUAAGGAUUGUCAAAUCUCAAUCUUUGAGAAUGUCUUUUCAGCAUUCUGUGUGACAAAAUGGGAAGCCUGCAUAAAGCACUUCCACUGCAGAUGGAAGAAACACAGUCGUGCAGUCAUUUGAGUGGUAAGCGAAACUCACUGCCUUCUUCACGGAGUACCCUUUUUAUUUGAAAGAAUGAUUGACAGGCUAACCAUGGUUAUUCGGACUUGUGUUUUUGGUAGACAAUUUUUUUUUUUGAGAAAAGGACACUAAGUUUUUAAUAAGGGGAACAAAAAAUUGUUUUCACCAGUAUAGAUUCACAUUACAGUACACCAAUAUUGACAGCAUUCUCUUGUCUAUUUUUGGUACAGAAGAUGGUAUCUCUCGGUAGACAUUUUUUGAGAAUGAACAAAGUGAGUCUGUUGCUUCAAGGUGAACAGCUAAUAGUGUUUAUCUGCAGAGAGAUCUGAGCCUUUUUUUUUUGAGACAGAGUCUCACUCUGUCACACAGGCCAGAGUACCGUGGCACAAUCUCGGCUCACUGCAACCUCCGCCUCCUAGGUUCAAGCGAUUCUCCUGCCUCAGCCUCCUGAGUAGCUGGGACUACAGACACACACCAUCACACCCAGCUAAUUUUGGUGUUUUUACUAGAGACGGGGUUUCAUUAUGUUGGCCAGGUUGGUCUUGAUCCCUUGACCUCAUGAUCCACCCACCUCAGCCUCCCAAAGUGCUGGGAUUACAGGCGUGAGCCACCGUGCCAGGCCGAGAUUUGCACUUUUAACAAAACUUAGAAUUUUAGAAAGCUUGUAUCCAUCAUUGUGAGCUUGUUCUCCAAAUUUAAAGACUUUUUGAUGAUAGUAUUAGCGAAUGUGCUUCCUUUUGAUGUUGUAAAAUUCAGUGUGUGAACAUUUGGCAGAUCUUGUAAGUCAGUGAACCAGCAUUUUCCAAGGACUAAUGCUGAUGUUUCAGAAUCUCACAUAGGCAAAAGAUACCUCCAAAGUGCUAGACAGACUAAUGGAUUUUAAUGUGACAAAGAACAAAAUGUUCACUGAUGUGUUUUCAGGUUCCACAUUAAAAUACUAUACUACUGCUUGUCAAGUUUUUUGUGGUAUCAAGAAAUUAUCUGAAAAGCCUAUAAAAAUACUUGUCCUGCAUCCAACAACAUAUCUGUGAGGCCAGAUUUUCUUUAUAUACUUCAACCAAACAAUCUAUCUCACAACAGAUUGCAGAAGGAGAUAGGAGAAUUCAACAAUCCUCUAGUAAACCAGAAGAUAAAAAAUUUGCAAAAAUAUAAGACAAUGCCACUCUUCUCACCGAUUUUUUUUUUAAUAAAAACAAGUUAUUUGUGUUAACGCAUACAAGUUUUGUUAUUAUGGUUUUUAAGUGAAUUAAUAUUUAAAAAUAUUUUUAGUUUUAAUUUCUAGUGCUGGUAGAUUUAGUACAUAAGCAAAAGCAAUUUAGGGGUCCUCAAUAAUUUUUAAGAGUACAAACGAGGCCAGGUGCAGUGGCUCACACCGGUAAUCCCAGCACUUUGGGAGGCUGAGGUGGGCGGAUCACUUGAGGUCGGGAGUUCAAGACCAACCUGGCCAACAUGGUGAAACCCCAUCUCUACUAAAAAUACAAAAAUUAGUUGGGCAUAGUGGUGGGCACCUGUGAUCCCAGCUACUCAGGAGGCUGAGGUGGGAGAAUCGCUUGAACCUGGGAGGUGGAGGUUGCAGUGAGCCAAGAUCACACCACUGCACUCUAGCCCGGACAACAGAGCGAGACACUGUUUCAGAGAGAAAAAAAAAAAAAAAAAGUACAAAGGAAUCCUGAGAUCAAAAAAGUUGAGAACCACUGGUUAGUCCAUUUUGCAGUUGAGGAAACGAAAGCUGGGAGAGGCUGGCGAUGUGGCUGAGGUCGCCAUGCUGGAAAAUGACCCAACAUGAUGGCAAGGGCUGGUGAUGCGCUGCCCAGAUUCCCCAGCUGUUGGAAGAUGGAACUCAGCUGUUGGCCCUCUUUGGGGAUUUUUUUGGCUGAAGAAAACUGAACCUGUACUUGGGCUGGAGUUAUGCAAACUCACGCCCCUUUCCAGGGUCAGCUCCAUCCAUGGCCUGUCCAGCUGGGCAUCAAGGCCUGGCCUCUAGUCCCAGCUGGGAUGGCUCUGAAGGGUCAUCCCUGAUACAAAACCCUGGGGAAACUGCACUGCAGUUCCAUGCCUUCCUCUGCUCAGCCUGCUCCCUCCUCGCCCACCCCAUAGGUGUGGAGCCCUGGAACAUACCCUAAGAACCAUCCUGCUCACUUCCUGGGGGACCCACUGUGACAGCCAAUGGGAAUGCAAACUGGGCACCUCAGACCCCAGUCCCAGGCUCUUCCGCUCGAGGAAGGUCUCACAUCAGCGGAGGGUUUGGUUGACACUGAAUACAUUUGUCCCAUCCUUGAUUUGCAAGCCACCACAAAGUCAGCUCCUGAUACUCCAUUGUUUGAUCGACGGGGCGAGGGAAGCCACACAAUAUUCAGGAUCCUUCAUACUAGUGGGUCACUUGAAGAAAAGACAGUCCAGUAAAGUGCUGCCUAAAGGGAACUGAUUCAUUACCCAACUUUUCUCUGUGUACCUCCUGUGUGCUAAGCAUCUUGCCAGACCCCAAGGAGAUCUGUCCCCUUUCUGAGAGGAGCCAGGGGAUGGGGGAGAGAAACCUACAGCUACAGGAAACCAUUCUCUGCUUUCCAGUUGAGUGUUCUUUUCCUGAGAACCCACAGUCUACAGUUUGAGGUGUAGCUUCAGAAGCCAGCACUCUGGUCCUCAAACACCCCUCUGUGACUCUCUGCCUCAGUUUCCUCACCUAUAAACUGGGAUAGUGAUGUACCUACCUCCUAAGGUUACCUUGAGGAACAAAGAACACGUAACAAACCUUUUGCCGAUGUGAGCUAUUAUUAGAACUUCUCUAUCCAGCCCAAGUCCAGACCCUGCAUCGGGGAGAUUUUAGGUCGUCUGUAAAAGGAUGGGGAAGGGUAUUCUGCUGUGAGGGGCCAGCAUGAGUGAGGGCCUAGGGCUGGAAAGUGUGUGGCUCCAUUAGUCUACCAAUGUUCCUCGAGCGUCUGCUCUGUGCCGGGUCACACACCAGGCAGGAGGAAGCAGACUUGGCGCCAGCUUCACGGUGCUAACAGAGUUAUGCUGGACGUGGCAUCAAGCAAAGCACUAAAAUAGUCACUGUGCAGCCGCCACCGUGGCUAUUCAGAGAGUGAAGAGGAGGGGAGGGACUGGCUGGGGCUGAACUUAGGCCUAUGUGGGGCUUUGAUGGGAUGUGGAGGGAGAGGGGUGGGGAGGGCCCGGACCAACUACAGUCAGCUCUGAGUUCAGUUGGAGGAAUGCAGACCUGAUCCUCUGCUGGCACUAAGUAGCCUUCAUCAGGUUCACAGCUCUCCUCUGCCUGGGUUUGAGAGACUUCAGGGUCAAGGACAGAGCACCUACAACUCAGAAGAGCAGCUUUGAGCCUAUAAUUCUGGCACUUUCUACCUCCUUUCAAAGUGCAUGAGAGAUGAGAAUUGAGCUCUCUAAAUGUGCUUGUGUAUAAGAGGGGAGUGGUUAUCUGAUCAGAACCUCGGUCUCUCAGAGGUAGGAGAAGCCUGUGCAGCCAUUCCUGGAUGCAUGAAUCCACCCUAGGACUCCCCAGACACAGGUACGUGCAGCCCUGCUUGCACAUCUCCAGCGACAGUGAGCUCAUUACGUCGCUGGAAUGUAGCUGGGAAGCUCUCUACAUUCUCCUGCUGAGGCUAAGGCCUUCCCUUUGCUAAAGGUCUUCUUCCUCUGUCUCUUGCUUUUAUUGUGACCGAUUUCCCUUCCAGACUUGCUUCUGGUUGACUUUCUCCUUAUGUUUUGCCCUUUUACUCUUCUGCUUCCUUCCUUCCUGUGUUCCCCAGGCCUCCCGCUCCCGUGCUUUCCCUGCAUCAAACCCCUGGAGUCCCAUUCACUCACCGUUACCUGAGCCUCUCCUGCAUGUCACAGGAACAGAGGUGUUAACUGGGUCAAUCCUUGCUCUCACGAAGCUCAUAGUGCACUGGGGCCCUGCCCACGUGGUGGAUGAGGUGUGAGGGGCGAAGGAGAAACCAUUUAUAAAUAAAUCUCUCCUAGCCAGAAGACUGGAGAAUCACAGCAUGAAAUGAACACGGAAUUCAAACCCAGAUCUGCCUGAGUGUGGACAGAUCCCGUUUCUCCUGCCCCUGUCUGUGUACACCAGUGACUUUACUUUUCUGAGCCUCAGUUUCCUCACCUGGAAAGUAGAUAGAUUACGAUCUACCUCUCUGGCCUGUUGUGAGGAUAAAAUAAAGUCUGGUGUGUUAGCCCCUGGCACGCAGUAGGUACACAGCCCCAGUAAGUUGGGGUCCUCCUGUCCAAAAUCAGCAGGGCCUUGGAGCAGCUCCCGAAUUCUAGCACCUGGCAAGUGGCUGGUGGGUCGGAUUAGGGACAUAUGUUAGCAACUUUCUGGUCAGCAGAGGUCGGCCAAGCAAUUGGCUCCACCAGACUCUGGGCUUCCUUAACCAAUUUGGACACAAGAAACAGCCACAGCACAGACCUUGGCGUUCCUCAUGUAACCCCAGCUCCCACAUACCCAGGGAGGAGCCGUAGCCUCCAAUGGUGUGGCCAGGCUAAUCAAAGAGGGCCAAUGUGCGCUGGGCAGCUGCUUCUAGAGGUGAGCCCAUGCUACCACUUGAAGGCCAGUGUGGCUGAGCCCGGUCCCUCAUGCCCAGCUGUCUAGGGCCUGGGGCCUCUCCCCACCACCUGAAAGGCUGGGCCUGUGCUCUGGUGUCAGAUGCACCUCGAUUUAAACUCCCUGCUGCCAUUUUCUAGUUGUGGUCCUCUGGGCAAGUCACAUCACCUCUCUGACCUCAGUUUCCCCUUCUGUAAAAUGGGAGUAAAACGAUGCACACUCCACUGAAUCACUGUGAGGAUGAAAUGGGAGAAAGGAUACUUAGCACUGCACAGGUGGUCAUUUGGGAAAUGCUAUUUAUUAAGGUGAGUUUUCCCACGAAGGCCAAUGCCAGGAACAGAGCUGAAGAGAAUCUGAUCGCUCACAUCUACAGGAAAUGAUAAAAAAUGGAGCAGGACCUAAAACCAUGCCCAGGGGGUAACAGUGAAUAGCUGGCAAGGCUUGGCCUGGCAGUGGGGGGGAUGCUGGCAGGUGGGAGGGGCUCAGCACAUACCUGUUGACUAAAGGAAUGAGAAGUCACUCAGGAGGACUUGAUCUCUGCCUUCAACUACAUGUGAGAAGGAAAAGCCAGCUUCAUCUCUGAGGGGCUAAGAGGCAGAUCAAGAUGAGAAAGAUGUGAGGAGGCAAGGCUCAGGGUAAGGAAGUCUCCUCCUGCAGCCAGGGCAGUCCAAAGAUAGAGAAAGAAGCUUCUGGGAAAGUGAGCUCCCCGUCACUGGAGGUGUGUAAAUCUGGUUGGAAGAAUUGUAGGCAGACAUGUCAUAAAGGGAUUCCUGCACUGGGUGGAAACUUUAUUUCUGGGAUGUCCAAGGUACUUUCCAACCCUGAGAGCCUAUGAUACUAGGAGAAAUUUUUUCUUCCAACUCCAAGAUUAGUGAAGGUAGCCUAAUGCUGUUGCCAACAACCUCGUCACUCAUUGCUUCAUGCUGUGGAAGUGUAUUUCUUGGCCAAGUAACAGCUCCAUGCAGGUACUUACCAGUGGCCUUCCUCCAGGCAGUGACUCAGGCAUCAAGGCUCCUUCCACCUGUGGUUCCACCUUCCCUUGAGUCUCUGAGUUCUUAGAUGGAUCCUGUGCAUAAGGCUACACAAUGUGGGAAAAGAAAAAGUGGAGGAUCACACGGAAGAUUUUCACCGACCAACCUUAGAAAUGGUGCACUUAAUGCCUCCCCAUAGUCCAUUGGCCAGAACUGCAAGGGAGGCUGGAAAAUGCAGUCUAGCUGGGUGCCCAGGGGAAGAGGAAGUGGGCGUGGUGAGCAGCUAGUCACUACCUUAGGAGCUGGGGCUCUCAUUUGUGCAUUCAUCAUUUAUCCAUCCAGUGAGCGCUCAGUGAGCACCUACUGUGUGCCAAGCCUGUACCCUGGGAUAUAAACAUGAAUCGGACACAGUCCCCUCUCUGGGAGUCCACACCUAGGUUCGCAGCCCAGGCACAUCCACCAGCUAUUGCCUGCAGUUUGGCAGUGACAACCAUGAUCUAAAGACAGGAUAACUGAUGACCUUCAUCCUAGCACCACCAUGUGAUAUGGAAAUGAUCUCUCGGGCCCAUGCCCUCAUCUGUAAAGCAGGAAGAAUACUACUGAGCUCAAAGGAUGAUGCAAUACAAGCAAAGCAUGGGAAGCCCUCUGCAAAUGGGAGUGAAUAUUCCCUAUGUCCACGUCCUCCAGUAUCAGUCCUCUCUGAGUGUUUUGGGUUGGAUCAGGAGAUGCUGGGUACCACAGUACAACAGUGGUGGCCUUCCGCACACCCCGCAGUGUGGGGAGUGAACAUGAAUUUAGUCAGGGAUGUAGGAGGCUUUUGCCCUUAAAUCCUUGGCAGGUUGGUAGUGACCCCUCUGUCCUCACAAACAGUGGCCUGAACAGAGGUGCCCAGUCCCAGCUCCACUCACUUCAAGGACUGGAGAGGGAAGAGUCUGAAGGGAAAAGUACCUGGAGCCAAUGUGUGUAUUCCUCCAUCCCUCAGCGCAUCAGCCUCACUGGAAAGAAUAAUCCAGGGCAGUUUCUCUUUUAUCUCAGAGCCUAAGCUCAAAGAGUUGCAUUACACAGCCCUGGGGGAGUUUUCCCAGAAUGGAAAAGCUUAAUAUCAGAGAGGUUUAGCAAGCUUCCUGCUGUCGCAGAGCUGAGUGGAAGAGCAGGGAUUGCCACCCAAGUUGGCCUGCUUAAUGACAUCUUUAGGGACAUGAGUGUCAAACUCCCAGGGGAAACCCUGGUUCUAGCUCAGCCAUUUUUGCCUCCUGUGUGAGCACUACUCACUUUCUUUGAAAACAGAGAUGACAGCAAUGUCUUCCCAUCUGGAGAGAUCAGUGAGAAAUAUUUUGUGUAAAAUCUUGGCCCCAGGUCCAGCAUGUAGCAGAGAACAAACUGGAAGGUGGUACGGUAAGGUAGUUAGGUGCAUGGACACUGAGAGUCAGCCUCCGCCGCUUAGUAGCUGUGACAACUUAUGCAAAUGCAUCUUCUUUGCGCUUCAGUUUGCUCAUCUGUUAAACGGAGGUGAUGAAAUACCUAGUAAGCAUCACGUACGCAUAGUUUUAUUCUCAUCUGUACAUUGAUGAGGUUGAUUCCUAUUAGUUUGUUAAGCUACCUACUCUUUGCAAAUAGAUAAGAUGAAGGUGUCUUAAGCUAGAGUUUUGCAUUUUUACUUUAUGGUGCCUGGAAACGAGUCCAGCAAUCUCAGCUCUGGGAAGGAUGUUUGAGUAGAGAGAAGAUUGAGUCUAGGAAUUCAACUUCCUCCACUUUACUGAUGGGGAACCAGAGGUCCAGAAAAGGAAAGGGGUUUACCCAGGAGCUUGCAACUCACUCAGUGCUACCCUUGUACGCUUUGCCCACCUCUUUCUGUCUUAGAAAAUGAUGCCAAGCCUUGGUUAAUGUGUGUGAUGGAAACCUGCAGAGGCUCUGAUGAAGCAGUCCUGGGCCAUGACGGGGAAGCCUUGCGUGUCCGAUGUUAGCCUGGGCUUUGCAUUUAUUCUCAAUGUGAGUCUCCUUUCUUCUUUCUGUCUUAUGCCUCGCACAUCCCCUCUCAGGCUAAGGCAAACAAGUUGGAGAAUUUUAGAAUUGUAGCCACAUAGACCCUCAGGCAGCAAGAGGUUCUAGACUCCACAUUUCAAUCCUACAAACAUUUAUUAUAUUAGGCGCCAGACCCCGAACUAAGGGGAUUUAGUAGUAAAUAAAACAGACAUGGCUUCUGAUCUCGCAGUCAUGCUGGGAGACAGACGCUAAACAAACACAAACAGGUCUGGGCUGGGUCAUCUUCAGCAAGUUGCCCCUCAAGCCUCAGUUUCUCCAUUUAUAAAAUAAGGUGAAUGACCCCUGCUUCCCAGAGUUGACCUGAGGAUAAAAUGAAGUGGGUUGAGACAUAGGCCACCACAUUAGUAGACAUUCUAAAAAGUGGAAUUAUUUCCUGCUCUCCCUGAUUGCGGAGGGAAAGACUGCACUUGGGUUUCUAAGGCUCCUCGAGUAGCUGAAAAAGAAGAGGGUGAUACAAAUAAACAGAAGGGCGUGCUCUGUGCCAGUCCGGGCCAGGGCCCUCUUGGCAUGGCAAUUCCACUAGGUCUGAGAAGCUGAAAGCAAAGGUUAUUAGCUGAAAAUGCACCACUGAGCCUGUUCGUUCUCCAGAUAAUCCAGUUUAUGUAUCUGAUAAAAUGGGAUCAAAAUGAGAAACACAUUUCCAAAAGGAGUUGGAAACAGCAUUGUCCUUCCUCCAGAGCAUUUUACAACUGCAAAAUCACGGUGAUUCAUGACUAUUUCACAUGAUCGAUCCUCAAGCAGCAGCGAGUGCAGCACUGCAGUUACCCAGACCAGGGGUGGACUCCAGCUCCACCACAUGGAAGCUGGGCAGCCAUGUGGGCGAGUCACAGCUUCUGUGAGCCCUGGUUUUCUCAACUAUGAAAAUGGAAAUAAUCAUAUCUGAUGAGCAAUGCUACUGGCAUGUAAUUGAAACUCAAAGGGAACUUCAGAAUGUAAGCUUAUGAGAGAGAAGAUUUGGUCUAUUUCGUUGUGAUACCUGCAAUGUUAAAACAGUACUUAGAGCAUACUAGGUGCUCAUUAAAAUGUUCAUUGAAUGAACAGUACACAACAGUGCUCAGCAAAUACUUGUUGAAUGAAUAAUUGAAUAGACAUAAUCAUAUAAGUAUGUCUUUCUAGCCUCACAGCAUUUCCUGGAGAUUUUUGUUUGUUUGUGGGUUUUUGUUUUUGUUUGUUUUUUAUUUUGGUAGCUGAGACAUUUCGACUCAGAGAGGUGAAGUAAUGCAUCCUGGUCCAUGCACCUAAUUAGGGGCUGCCUCUUACCUUUGAACCCAGUUGUGUUUGGUCCCAUAUGCCUUAUAUUUUCCAUUGCAUCUAGAAGUUUCUUGGAAGUUGUAUCAAUUAGGAAUGCUUUCAACAGUAUCUUAAGCUAUAAAGCGUAACAGUAGCUUAAGCGAUAAAGAUGGACUCCUCUUCCACGAGGAGAAGUGGCAGAUGGCAGUUCAGGACUGGGGCAACAGCUGAGCAUUGGCAUCAUGGAACCAGGCUAUUUCCAGCUUUCUCUUCUGUCAUACUCCACCAGAUGGCUUUUUGUCCUAAUGGUUGUUGCUUUAUGGUCACAAAUGGCUGCUACAGCUCCAGGCAUCACAACCAAGUUCAAAGGCGGGAGGCAGGAAGGAAGGAGGGGGUGGCGAGUUUCCUGAAGUGCUUUCUUCUUAUAUCAGCAAAGGAAAAAGGGAACCAGAGGCAGCUGUCUCAGAAGACUUUCCUUUAAGCCUUGCUUGUUAGUUUGGCCACAUGGCCAAUCCUGGCUGCAAGGGCGGCUGGAGAAGUGGACCUCCAGCAAAGAUGGACGGGAUGGCCAGAGUCGCCCAGGCCAAUCAUGAUUGUUCCACAGGAACAGGCUCACUGCUGCUCUGAACAAAAUUGGGGCCAGAUGGUGAGGGGAAGGGAAAGGGGUUGCUCCCUUCGAGUUUCAAUUACAUGCCAGUAACAUUGCUCAGCAGAUAUGAUUAUUUCCUUUUCAUAGAUGAGAAAACCAGGGCUCACAGAAGCUGUGACUCGCCCCCUCGGCUGCCCAGCUUGCGUGUGGUAGAGCCGGAGUCCACCCCUGGCCUGGGUAACUGCAGUGCUGCACUCGCUGCUGUUUGGGGGUCAGUCACAUGAAACAUUCAUGAAUCACAAUGAUUUUGCAGCCGAAAGGGAAGGGAAAGGGGGUAUGGAAGCCCUGACCACACCGUCAUUUAACAAUCCAGGAGACCAAAUCCAGUGUGACUGCCCAAGGACGGGAUCUGGAGGAGAUCUAGCUUUGUACUGAUUUUUGGAAGCAAUCUCAGUGGGCAGGGUUCCUAGAAGGCGCCCCACAUGAGAGUGUUGAUGUUCUCUGCGUGCUGACACAGCAUUCUGCAGCCAAGCAGGAAGGGAGAGUCCCCUCAUUCAGUCUGCUUUCAGUUCUUCAGAUCACAUCUUGGAGAAAUGAUCAGUAAGUGCAAUGAGUGAUCCUUGAUGAUUGCUGGAAUUUGCAAAGAAAAAGGAUCUAAAGAGUAUGAUUGGGUUAACUGGGAGGAAAUUUGAAUGUAGAUUAAGAAGUACAUGAUAGAAUUGAAUGGAUUUUAAAUUUUCUGGGUGUGAGAAUCAUUGCUGUGGUUAUGUAGAAGAAUGCCCUUGUGCUAGGAGAUAUGUGCUGAAGUAUUUAGGAGACAACUCAUGUUUGUCUCAUACUUGUCUACAAAUGGUUCACAAAAAAUAUGUGUGCGCUUUUGCACACGUGCCCACAUGUGCGCGCACACACACACACACCAGUCGCCCCUUAUCCAUGGUUUCGCUCUCAUGGUUUCUGUUAGUCUCAGUCAAACAAGGUCUGAAAAUAUGAAAUGGAAAAUUCCAGAAAUAAACAAUUGAUAAAUUUUAAAUUUUGCAAUAUUCUGAGUGGCCGUGAUGAAAUCUCAUGCUGUCCCACACCAUCCUGCCAGGACAUGAAUCAUCCCUUUGUCCAGUGGGUCCACACUGGAGAUACUACGUACUGUUAGUCACAGAGAUCGUCUGCUCCUGACAUCCAGCCAUCGACAUCAUCCUGUCUUUAUGAUACAGGAUCACCCAAAGCAGGUGUUCCUUCUUCCAAAGCAUCAUCAGAAGGUAACAGCAGCCUAACCUCCCUUCAUCUCAUCACGCAGGCGUGUUACCAACUCACAUCAUCACAAGAAGAAGGGGGAGAGCAGUACAAGAAGACACUUUGAGAGAGGGAGAAAGCGUUCACAUAACUUUUAUUAUAGUAGAUUGUUAUAACUGUUCUAUCUUCUUAUUAGUUGUUAAACUCUUAGUGCACCUAAUUUAUAAAUUAAACUUUAUCCUAGAUAUGUAUAGGAAUAAAACAUAGUAUAUAUAGGAUUCGGUACUAUCUGAGGUUUCACGUAGCCACUGGGGGUCUUGGAACAUAUCCCCUAUGGAUAAGGGGGCACUGCUGUAAUCAACUGUGCACAUAUCUGUAUAUAUACACAUACAUAUAAAUACAUAUACACAUAUAUAUACACAUGCAAAGAGAGAGAGAAGAGGGUGAGACAGAGAAAAAAGCAAAUAUCAGCGUUAACAUCCAGUGC